rnacentral:rRNA from 1 species
UAAGGGCGCACGGUGGAUGCCUUGGCACUAGAAGCCGAUGAAGGACGUUACUAACGACGAUAUGCUUUGGGGAGCUGUAAGUAAGCUUUGAUCCAGAGAUUUCCGAAUGGGGAAACCCAGCAUGAGUUAUGUCAUGUUAUCGAUAUGUGAAUACAUAGCAUAUCAGAAGGCACACCCGGAGAACUGAAACAUCUUAGUACCCGGAGGAAGAGAAAGAAAAUUCGAUUCCCUUAGUAGCG